rnacentral:lncRNA from 1 species
GCAUGGUUCAAUAUGUUCAAUAAGGCAUUGUUUACCAGGUGAGCGAUUCAGGCUCUUGAGAGCCUCUUGUUUUUCAAUUGCAUAAAUAUUGUGAAAAGAUAACAUAUUUUUUCUAUGAAGUUUGUCGCCCACCUAUUACUUUUUGGCCUGUUUAAGAGCAGACAAUAUUAAGCUGUUUGGUAGAUGUGCAGACAAUAUGUCUUUGGUUCAAUGAAUAAAUAUUAAAAACUGCAAAGUAAAAGUUUGUUUGUAAGACAAAAAUUCUGUCUUAUUAUCAAUAAAAUAAUUAAAAGUUAAUAUAAAAUUGAGUUAUCUCCCCUUACAAGAAAAAUAUGAAACCAUGAUAUGAACAUUUGGUUAGUUUUAGGGUACAGGCAAUAUAUAUAUAUGUAGAGGUUUAGAAAAUGUAUGUUAUUUAUGAUUGUUGUUGUUGAGAUGAAAAUAAGUAAUGAAUAAAUGACCGUAAAUGUUUUAUGUCUUCUGUUCUGCUUACGGAAACACAAUUUAAUUUUGAACCAUAUUAUUAUCUUAAAUUUUUGAACUUUGUUAUUUCAGAGUUAUGGGACUUCAAGCUUCAGAUUUACAAAUAUUUCAUGUCAUACACAACCUUUAUCAAUA